rnacentral:rRNA from 1 species
CAGCAGCCGCGGUAAUACGGAGGGUGCGAGCGUUAAUCGGAUUUACUGGGCGUAAAGCGUGCGUAGGCGGCUUUUUAAGUCGGAUGUGAAAUCCCUGAGCUUAACUUAGGAAUUGCAUUCGAUACUGGGAAGCUAGAGUAUGGGAGAGGAUGGUAGAAUUCCAGGUGUAGCGGUGAAAUGCGUAGAGAUCUGGAGGAAUACCGAUGGCGAAGGCAGCCAUCUGGCCUAAUACUGACGCUGAGGUACGAAAGCAUGGGGAGCAAACAGGAUUAGAUACCCCUGUAGUCCCUGUCUCUUAUAC